rnacentral:rRNA from 1 species
CGCCUAAGGCAGGGCAGAUGACUGGGGUGAAGUCGUAACAAGGUAGCCGUAGGAGAACCUGCGGCUGGAUCACCUCCUUUCUAAGGAA